rnacentral:misc_RNA from 1 species
GAUAAAAAUCUAAUUAUAUCAGCAAAAUAUUUUACAACUAAAAACCGAUUAUAAAUUUUAUUAUGACAUCGGUAGAACUACAAGUGCUGAGAACGCAAUUAACAAAAUGUAGAGAAAUAAUAUCUUUAGGGUCCAGCGAAAUGAGCACCCGCAUAGAGUGGUUAAAUAAUUUCUGUGGUGAUUUUUACAUUUUUGCCAACCACUUGCAUAAAUUUAUCGCCAGCGAAAUAAAAGAAGAUGAUCAUGAGGGAAAUGAAAUAAUGGAUAACAUUUUCCUUUGCUUGGCUCAAGUUUGCUUGUGUACAAAAUAUCUGGAACGAAUUAUACGAGCGGAGGAUACUGCUCGCAAUGCAAUACCCAAUUCUAGAAAACAUUUUAUUGAUCGCAUAAUGUUGUGCUUCGAUAAAUUAGAAACAAGUUUUAGUAAUUUAUCCAUUACUACCGAAAAUAAAUCGCAUAUGUCUGGCUAUGGAUUUAUCACCCUGUUAGAUAUAGCAAUGGAUCACAUAAAAGAGUUUAGUACGUAUCAGGAAGAUAUGAAUACGGACACCGAUGAAUUAAAUCAACUUGAAGAUGCACUAGAGACCAGUAAAGACGUUUACCAGGCCGUGCGUUUACUGAUCAGCCAUGCACUUGCGCUAGCAAAUGUGGUAUUUAUUCAGGAUAAAACAGCAAUAAGCGCAUUAUGUCAAAAGGUCUUGCGAGAAUGCACAGCAUUUCAACACGAAUGUGGAAACAAUUUAAAACUCAUUCGCACAAAUAAUUGGCAUCGCAGAAUAAAGGCUAUCGCACUGGGAACCUCAUUAACACAAUUGCAUCAGUACAUUGAUGGCACUGUUUUGCGUUUGAUAUUUCUUUGUUUCGCAGAUUUAGAAAAGUUUUCAUUGGAUAAACUGCGCGCUAAGAUGCGUAAAACACGAGCAGACGACACCGAGUUAGACGAAUUUAUAGCCGAUUUUGAUGUAAAUUUAGAUAGAUUGGCACAAAUUGGACUCUUUGCUGCUAGUGACUGCUUAAAGCCCAAAUUAAAAACAUUGGUGCGCAGUUGUAUGGCAUCGCUGGAAGCACUGGAUUCAUGCAUUAUACCCUCAUUGCAAGCAUAUAAUGGCACCGAUAUGCAUACUGAAAUACUAGAGCAACAUUUUUACGAGGAAAUAAAUAAGUUCAAAACAGUUUUAUAUGAAAUUGUCGAUGCGCAACCGAUCACCAGAUGCUUUUAUGAGUUAUUUAACUCAUGCCUUGCUGAGACAGAAAAACAAUUUAACAAAUCAAAGUUGGAUGACUUGGUGCAAAUGGGCGAAUUUCUCUUGCAAUAUUUUCAAUAUCCUGCCAACAAAAAAGAACUGCAACACUCUCCAAAAUUCAAAAAUAACGCACUAGAACUUUUUCAGAAAUUCAAGUUAAUGUUAAAUGAAUGUCGUGCUAUUUUAGUAUGUGCCGAUCAGGUGAAUCACGUGCGUAUAAUGAAACGUUUUAAAAUAUUGCGUGCUAUUUUGCGUCGUUUCGUUGAUGCGCUUGAGCCCACCGAAAAUGUGUCAGCUAAAAAAGUUGACGAAAAUCCAACAGUUAUUCAAAGCACUGCCACUGGUACACAAACAAUUGACUUGAAUGCAUCGCAGUAUAUACUAGAUAGUAUAGAACCGAGCAUUUGCAGCAUAUUGUAUCGCAAUGAAACCGAUGAAUUUACGCCACGUAGGCGUGCGGCAACCGAUUCCAUGCGUGGUAAUUACUCUAAAUGUCCAUUAUUUGAAAAUGAUAAACCGUUAUCGCACACAAAAUUAAACGAUGACGGGCAAAGUCAAUUCAGGCAGUGUCGCAGAAGUAGCGCUGGCUGUAGUGGCGCCGGCAGCAGUAUGCGUAGGAGUAGAAGAAAGUUUGCGUACAGUGAUGUUUAAGCGUCAAAAAUCCGCAGAGACACAGAAAGUUUGUAAUUUCUAUUUGCAAAACUCGGCCAGUUUGCAAAUUUCGGAAAUACUAGAUCAAUUGUCGGAGAUAUCUGGUAACAGCCCGAGCGCUAAAGAAGAACAUUUACUGAACACCUCGAUAAUGGAAUAGAAAGU